UGCAAAGUGGCAAGGUCUCCUCUAAG
rnacentral:piRNA from 1 species